GUGCAUGUUGCUGGGUCACUACAUCCGAGGUCUGGAAUAUCGGUUAGAGCUGGCACACCUUCUCAGAAUAUCUAGCGACGUGGGGUCUUUCCCCAUUGACGACGAUCAUUUUAUUUGAGAAAGCUUCACUGGCUUCGUGAGAUCCAUCAGUGAAGAGGAUGAAAAUGUGCUCGCCAAGAGGCCGCAGAAGUUGCUGUUUUGGGCAUUUCCUGUCAAGGAAACAGGGAGUUCCAGGUCAUAGCUCCUGUUGUAGUUCUUGUAAAGUCAAAAGGAAGGCAUGGGUGUAAAAUUAGUGUUACAUAUCAAUGUGAACAAUUGGUUUAAUUUUCGUCCUAUUUAUAUUGUGGUAUAAGAAAUAACAUGUUGUUGCUGCUAAUCUCGUAGUAGCAUGGUGGAUACUGGACAGGCAUCCUCUGUACUCGUAGGUUGUAUGUAUUUGUCUAAUGUUUAUCAGAUGAAUGAUACUGUGUUAUAUUUCUGAGUCUUAUCAAGGUUCUUAGAAGUGUGUACCUCCCUGUUAUAUCACAGCUCUCGAUGGAUAGUUCUUGAUGAACUGAACGUAAGUAGUGUACAAUCUGCCUUUAGUAUUAUCUUGUACUCCCUCCGUCCCGAAAUAUCUGUCGCAGCUGGUCAUUUUGCAUAAUCAACCUCACUUUUUUCCGUAAUCAACCUGCAGUCCCGACUCGUCUCUGUCACUCUGCUCUCCACACUCACUCUCCUCACCCCUCUCACCUAUCGCCUUGCCGUCGCCGUCACCGGCUGUCGGGUUCCUCUCAGCUACCGCCUCUCCCCUCACCUCUCCAUCGCCGGUCGACGUCCUCCUCUCAGAUCUCGCCUCUCCCCUUGCCUCUCCACCAGAUCCGCAUCGCCUUGGCRCCGCGGCCUCGGUUCGCCUNNNNNNNNNNNNNNNNNNNNNNNNNNNNNNNNNNNNNNNNNNNNNNNNNNNNNNNNNNNNNNNNNNNNNNNNNNNNNNNNNNNNNNNNNNNNNNNNNNNNGACACCGUCGUCAUCACCAACCAUCCUUCAUCGCCAAUUCCAUGAUGCUCUUCAUCAUUCGUGAGUAAUCUCAUCGUAGGCUUGCUGGACGGUGAUGGGUUGGAUGAGAUCUAUCAUGUAAUCGAGUUAGUUUUGAUGGGGCUUGAUCCCUAGUAUCCACUAUGUUCUAAGAUUGAUGUUGCUACUACUUUGCUAUGCUUAAUGCUUGUCACGAGGGCCCGAGUGCCAUGAUUUCAGAUCUAAACCUAUUAUGUUUUCAUCAAUAUAUGUGUGUUCUUGAUCCUAUCUUGCAAGUUGUAGUCACCUACUAUGUGUUAUGACCCGGCAACCCUGGAGUGACAAUAGCCGGAACCACUCCCGGAAAUGACCAUAGUAUGAGGAGUUCAUGUAUUUACUAUGUGCUAAUGCUUCGUUCCGGUUCUCUACUAAAAGGAGACCUUAAUAUCCCUUAGUUUCCAUUAGGACCCCGCUGCCACGGGAGAGAUGGACAAUAGUUGUCAUGCAAGUUCUUUUCCAUAAGCACGUAUGACUAAAUACGGAAUACAUGCCUACAUUACAUUGACGAACUAGAGCUAGUUACAUAUCACCCUAUGUUAUAGCUGUUACAUGAUGAAUGCCAUCCGACAUAAUUAUCCAUCACCGAUCCAAUGCCUACGAGUCUUUUCCUACUGACCCUUGCUAAGUUACUUUACCGCUAUUGCUGUCACUACUACUACUGUCACUACUGCUACCGUUACUAUCACACUACAUUGCUACUGAAACUUUGCUUCAGAUACUAAGUCUUUCAGGUGUGGUUGAAUUUACAACUCAACUGCUAAUACUUGAGAAUAUUCUUUCGCUUCCCCUUGUGUCGAAUCAACAAAUUUGGGUUGAAUAGUCUACCCUCAAAAACUGUUGCGAUCCCCUAUACUUGUGGGUUAUCAAGACCAUUUUCUGGCGCCGUUGCCGGGGAGGCAUAGCUCUAUUCUGUGAGUCACUUGGGAUUUACGUCUGUUGAUCACAAUGAGGAAUCCGAGAUAUCCAAAAACUAAAGUCUUGCCCUCAACUACGAGGACAAGUAAGGAACUGCCAUCUAGUUAUGCACUUGAUUCACCUUCAGUUAUGAGUAAAUUUGCAACACCACCACCUUUUGGUAGUUCUGAUAUGUCGCCUGUGCUUGAUGAUGCUACUUCUGCUAUCCAUGAUGCUUAUGAUGAUGCUUUGCUUGAUAAUGUAUUUUCCAUUGAGUGCUAUUUCUUGAUGCACAAAUUGCUAGAGUUACUGCUGAAUGUGAUGAUACUUCUAGAAACUGAUAGUAAAUUAUUAGAAGUAGUAACUUGUCUUCGUUACACCUUGUACGACCUACGCUCUCCUAGAUAUGACNNNNNNNNNNNNNNNNNNNNNNNNNNNNNNNNNNNNNNNNNNNNNNNNNNNNNNNNNNNNNNNNNNNNNNNNNNNNNNNNNNNNNNNNNNNNNNNNNNNNGACCGGUUUCGGUUGGUCCCCGACGACCCGGUACGUCGUGGCGUCAGCCGUGGGCGGUGGUCGGGCGUUUUGGUAUGUUAGGCGUUAGGUUGAGUGGUCUGGUAGGGGCCCGACGGCUAGCACCCCUACCACUCAUAUGGAUAGGAGCAGUGGCACUUUUGUCCAAGAUGGUGGAUUCAUGCAUAUUGUUGUAAUACUUUGUAAGAUCCUCAAAAUAAUUAAUAAAAUAGGCCGUAUGCAUCUCCCAGAUGCAGAGGUCGAAGGUCAUCCUCCUUUUCUAAUAAAACAAUCACAAAGGGAAAAUGAGCAUACUACAUGGAAGCAACCACCGCCAUUCUCUUCAUCUGUGAUGGCCUACAUGGCUAGAUCCAUAAGGAGAGGUGUUGGCAAGCACUAAGCCAAAAUCUAAUUUAAUGAUUUAGUGAGACCCUAAUUAUAAUUACAGGUACAUAAGGGAAGGGACCUCACGUGAUUCAACUUGGAAGGUCGCCCAGGAAGAGAAGGAAGGGGUCGGUGGUGAGGAAUUGGGAGGACUUCUUGAAGACUCUACUUCUUUCGCGAAAGAAUGAGAAAUGAGAACUUCCAAAACUUUUUCACGUGAAAACAAUUGCGGUGUGCAAUUUUUUUUUUGUCAAAAGUACAACUGCUAUUGAGCUUAGCCUUACGAUCAGGAUGUGAUGGUGCACAUGGAUGAAGGCAGGCACACCAUCAUCACCAACUCCACACAAUUCACCAUCAUCGCCUUUCGAAGAGUGGUGUCUCCUAAAUUGGUUAGAUGUCACUUAGGAACCUUUAAAUUGUGUGGAGUUGAAUCAAGAAGUUUGUAAGAGCAAGAAGAUCGCCUACUUUGUGAAGAUCUACCCCGAGUGAGGCUAGUCCUUCGUGGACGUAAGCCAUCAUGGAAUAGACAAGGUUGCUUCCUCGUGGACCGUUCGUGGGUGGAUCCCUCCGUGGACUCACGCAACCGUUAUCCUCCGUCGGUUGAAGUCUCCAUUAACGUGGACGUACAGAACCACGCCAAAAAUCUUUGUGUUUUCAUUGCGUUUGAUCUUCCUAGCCCUCAUUUACUUACACUUGCAAUGCCAUUACUUCCACCCCUCUCUAGACAUACUUUUGAUCCUACAACCCUACCCCCAGGGCGCACCAUGCGAGCUCAUGGCUCUCUCGUGGCUCGUCUGGCCUCCUCUCGAUGCUUUUAGGGGUCUCUUUAUGUUCAAAAAUAACCCCCGUAAAGUUUCAUCGUGUUUGGACUCCUUUUGAUAUUGAUUUUCUAGAAAAAUCAAAAAAAAUGAAAGAAAAAAAUAGAAACUGACACUGCGCACUGGGUUAAUAGGUUAGUUCCAAAAAUAAUAUAAAACAAUAUAUAAAUACAUAUAAAGUAUCUAAUAUUGAUAAUAUAAUAGUGUAAAAAUAUAUAUACAUUGGAGACGCACCUGGGCACGGCCGCCGCAGCGUGGGGUAUGUGGUUGCUUGCUACGGGUCGAGUAGGGCUAAAUUAGGCAAAAAAAUAAGGAAAACUCACGUAGCCCAUGUCCCACUUGUCAUAGGUGGUAACGACGAGGCCCACAUGUCAUAGGCAAUAACGCCAGGCCCACGCGCGAGUAACUGAGCACGUAACGGUCAAUUGCGUUGAGCCAGCGACGGGGCUUCGUUUGGGCUUUUGUGAAUGGUGGAGGGAAUAAGUGGGCAAAUUUAGACUUCUUGUUGAAAACUGAGCACAGCUAAGCAACUAAGGGCACCCAAAUAGAAAACCCUAGAUUCUUUGACUAAAAUGCUUAGCAAAACAACCUUUUGUUGACUUAAUUAGUGGUCUCUGGCCUGGAAAUAUUAUCUGUGUCAAUAUACAUAUGACACCAUCCUUUUCUUUAAAACUAACCUAGAUAAAACAAAUAAUCUCAAGCAUGUACUUAUUUGCUUUGAAAAAGUUUAUGGGAUGAAAAAUUACUACAAUACAAGUUAGUUAGUUCCAAUAAGGAUGACGCUAGAAGAGACGUCUCCUUAUUCUGAGAUUUUUUGCUAUCCCACUAGUUUCUUUCCCAUUAGGUAUCUAGGUGUCCCUUUGCAUCAUGAUAAACUUAGAAGGCAAGAUAUCCAACCCCCGAUAGAUAAGAUUCUAGAAAAUAAAUGACAGGAUGGAGUAGAAAAUCUACAUCUACUUAAGGCAGUAUUGUAUUUAUUCAAGUCNNNNNNNNNNNNNNNNNNNNNNNNNNNNNNNNNNNNNNNNNNNNNNNNNNNNNNNNNNNNNNNNNNNNNNNNNNNNNNNNNNNNNNNNNNNNNNNNNNNNAAUUUUAGUUCAUCGAUGGAAGAAAAUUAGAUUGUCAAAUUCAAAGGUUUUUAAGUCUAGCAUCCCUCCUGUUAUAGGCGGGCAGUGUGAGAAAGAGCAAAGAAGGCCUUAAAUAGCAUUGACAAAUGGGUGGGAGGGAGGCACAUUACCUGUUCGAAGAUGAAUCUGGCGGCUCCUUCUCGACCUGACCACGGGCUCCUCUCACCGCGCCGCCCCCUCUCACCUUCUAUCGAUUUCAACAAGCAAAACAGAGAGCUCAGAUCUACAAACAAGCGUAGGGGAUUGGGACUAGAGUAUCGAAUUCACUCACCACCAUGGUUGUCACCGCCGAAAGGGAGCUCCACCUGCCGCCGAGAAAAAGGGCUCCUCCUCCUCCGCCGCCGCCGCCGCCAGAGCUGAAGAAUGGAGUGCGGGCAGUUUGGGACAGUUCAGGUCGGGCGGGUGGAGCGCAGACGGUUUGACGGGAUGCGAUGCUAAUUAUUUUGGGGGGCAAAUUAGUUAGGACAUGUCUUAACGCAAAUUGGACUAGUUGACUAAGGUUUUAACGCCUGUGUGGCCAUGGGCUAUUUACAUGCUUCGAUUCAUCGCAAGAGCUAUUAUGUCGAAAAACAUCACACUCCUUCCAAUUCGAUGGAGAGAAGUCGCAUCUGAGCUAUUAGCCCGCCAACAUCAGGCAUAGGCAGUAGCCAGAGGCACGGGUCCGGGCCAGGACAGGGGAGGGAAGGGUGGCAGAGACAUUCCCCUACCAGGCGCAAUGACCAGCAGGAGCCGACAAACGGUGAGGAGGGGCUAGGGCUGAAGCUAGCCAGGGCGCCAUGCCACAACCUUCCUAGGAGCCGGCACGACGUUGGCCAUUCCUCCGAUAGCAGCGAAGUGAGGGCGGGGUUGGCGAGGUGGCGACACGACACGAUCUAGGGUUCCUCAUCUCCGCCAGGGAGGGCGACACAGGGGACGCAGGAGUCGAGGAACAGUUUUUUAGUUUCUCUAUGGUCUUAAUAUUCGUCAUCUCUGUGUCUCGAUGAGCAUUAUAUAAUGCAACAUGUCGCCCAUGGGUAAACAUAAUGGUAAAUGAAGUCUUACAUAAGUUGAUGUUGGCGCAACACUUUACAUGAUUUGAAGAGAAAAAACAUAUCACUUAAUGGUAUUUUGAAGCAUAGCAGUCUGCAAUAUUGCAAAUGUGACCAGCCAAUACUGAAUAUUUCUUAAACAGUUUGUUAUGUGUAUUAUAGUCCCACAAACAAAAAAUAUGUCACAAUUAACAACUGACCAAAAGAACUAUGAAAGAAUAAAAAUAUAAUUGAAAUAGAACUUGCAUCAAUAAAGGAGUAUACGAGUUCAAACAAGGUUGCAUGUACAUUGAUAAUUGGCACUACAAUAUAGAAGACAAAGCAAUAUCUAGAGAGAUACAUAUUCCAGUUUGAUGACCUGAUAGGAGAGUUUUAGAAGGAAUAAAUACUUUAUGGAACACAUGAAAAGCAGAUGACAAACACAUAAUGGUCGUGUCCCAUUAAGCUAGAUUACAAUGGUAAAAUUAUAUGUCGUGCGUCAGCCUCCUUCCAACAUUGGCUUCCUCGUUGGCGAGGGUGUGCGAGCACCACAUCUGGUAACUCUGAAUUCUGAAAUAUGUGGCAGCACCGCAACAGCUGUGGCACUCGCCAUAAUUCAAGCAUGACUGACACAUCUAGUUCCAUUUACAUAGUCACAUACCUUAAGCAUCUAUCAGGCAAUGGAAUUUUUUGUCAAGCAUAGUAUAACCCUUGUCUUAGUUGUUUGCUCAAAACAUCUGCAACAACAAUAUUAGCUCUAGAACUCUCGCUUCAUCAAUCUUCUCACCUAAAAGGAUAUGAGAUGAUCACUGCUGCAUACAUAACAAUAUGUAGUAUAUUUAGGCAAAUGAUAAACAAUAAGCCUAUGCAGGGUCUAUAGUAUAUUUAGGCAAAAAAGCAUUGAACAAUAUUUGCAAUACAUUUAUUAAGGAGCAAAGAGACAAAAUCUAUCUACAAGCAACACUACACUCAUUAGCACAUAUCAGACCACAAACCAGAAGGAUGUUAUUUAUGCUAAAUGUCGUUUAUCAGUUAGCACUUCCAAGUAGAUCUCAGACAACUACAUAAGUGUGCACAUGUUUGUGAUCACGCACAACUACAUAAGUAUGCAUAUGUUUGUGAUCUUGCAAAACUACAGAAGUAUGCAUAUGUUUGUAAAAGCGAUUGUUUUAGAUUGAAUUCAAUACACAACAAUAUAGUGGAAUGGGAAGUUAAAUUACUUGAUACAGAGUGAGGGACUAAGAACUUAUCUACUUAAUAAUACAACUAAUCAUACAUUAUCAUGCCCCUCUACUCACCGUGCACCAAAUCAUGCCAAGUAAAAAAAUCUGACAAAUGUCACAAUGAAAAAAGGUACGGAUACUGAAUAGAAAAUUUGGUACCAACCCGAGGGGAUGGAGUAUAGUGAAUUUCAUCAAGGAUGAACUACAAGCUUCUGCAACGAAUCAAGUAGAUAGUCUGAAUCUGGAUUUCACUAUGAACUGUGCCAAUCCGACGGAUUUGUUUCUAGACAUUUAAGAAGUCACAUGUUUAGGAGAGACAAAAGUUUUGAAUCGCGCAUGGAUCGGACACACAUCUCUACUACCAAAAAAAAA
rnacentral:lncRNA from 1 species